GAUGGAGAUUACUUUCACAGCUGUUCCCCCCCGAUGCAAGAUGUAAUGCUAAGCUACGCUAACUGCAUUGUAGCUUGGUAGUAACGGACAGGCCGGAAGUGAACGUGACUGACAGGUGAGCCGGCGGGUGAGAGGUCGCGUGAGGUCGCGAUGUCCUGGCCAGUGGUUUUCUUCUCUCCGUGUGCACUCGUCUUAAUACCUCCACACCUGGACUCCUCUCUCUACAUCUGGACUCCUCUCUCCACA
ensembl:lncRNA